rnacentral:lncRNA from 1 species
GAACAAGUCUCCAGAAGAGCUCUUCAUGACAGUCAUAGAGCGGCUGAAGUACUUGAACGUGAGACGAGCAGCUGUCAUAACCAAGCUUCAGGGUACAGAAGAGGAAAUGACUGACAUAAUAGAUACUGUAAGUUCAACUGACCUGCUUGAAAGCAUGCCUGUUCCAUGUUAGCUGUACCUAGCACGUCAUCUCCUAGGAUCUAAGGGAUAGCUCUCCAUAAAGACAUCCCUUUGUGGAGUGAAGAGAUGGCUCAGUGGAUAAGAGCACUAGUUGUUCUUCCAGAGGUCCUGAGUUCAAUUUCCAGCAACCACAUGGUGGCUCACAACCAUCUAUAAUGUAACCUGAUUCAUUCUUUUGACAUGUAAGUGUACAUGCAGAGAGAGCACACACACAUAAUAUAUAUUAUAAUGUAUAUAAUAUAUAAUAAACAUAUAAUAAAAGUUUUUUUAAAAGACAUCUCCUCCUAGGAAGAAGCCACAGUCUGAGCACAAUAUUAUUUGUGGCACUAAGUGCAAUAAAAC